GGGAGCUGGGAAAAGGCCCCAGGAGCUAGGGCAUCCUGAUUGUUCUUUCAAAGAAAUCCCUCUUGUUCUUAGUCAACAUGCUGGAUACCAGCUAAAAAAUGCAAAAUGAUCUUCAGGCAGGGAUGGCACAGGACCCUUGCUGAGCUGUGAAGCCUGGCUGUGAGGAUUCCUGCAUGGAAACAUCAACAUGUUGCCAGAUUGGUAUACGACUCAACACCACACUGGUCUGCUGGAGUGUGCUGGAAGUCCACUCCAGACUCUGUUUGCCUGGGUAUCACCAGCAGAGGCUGCAGAACAGCAAAGAUUGCUGCCUGUUCCUUCCUCUGGAAGCUUCGUCCCAGAGGGGCACCUGCCAGAUGCCAGCUGGAGCUCUCCUGUGUGAGAUUCUCCGGAGAAAAAGGCUGGCUCGCAAGAGGAUGCCAGAAGAGUGACAUCUCCCUCAUCAGCGCUUUGCCUCUUAAGACAUGCUGCUCCCAAACAGUGCCUUUGAAUCAAGACCCAGUCAUCGUAUUCGAAGAAAAAGGAAAUAUCCCUGACCAUGUUGGGACUUAACACUGCUUCACAGAGCUACCCAAACCAAGGAGAAUACCAACGUGAAUUGUCUUUCCACCUGUUGUGUGGGGCCAGCAAUUAUUCUUUUAGCUUGACGCGUUAACCCACCUGCUCCCUGUGGCCCUGGGAUGCUCUGCCAUCCCCCGUGGCUGCCAGUUCACUUAGGGUAGACUUAUGGCAGAGGGAUGUCAAUUUUGCUUGAACUGCUCAAUCACUGCUGACAUUUCGUUAACCACCCUAUGAACUUCUCAAGCCUGAAGUAGCAGCAACUUGUGCCCUUGAAAACUGAACAGAAAACAACUGUAUUGAUUUUCUACUAUCAACAAGAAAAAGACAAUUUCUCUUUGCUGAGAAUGUUCAUAAUGCAUUUUACACCACUUAUUCUCGGCAGUCCACCUCUUCCUGAUAUAUUGUUGGGCCUCUUUAAACCCCUGCUGCUUUAGACUCUGCUAGAAUUAACCCUGAAAUGCCAGCACCAUCUCAAGCCCUUCCAGUUCCCGGAUAGAAAUGUUCAUCAGUGCUGAAUUGACAGCCUACUUAGGCAAGGGAGCUGUGAUCAUUUAGAAAUUACAAAGGAACUCAGGCCUGGGUGAAGGGUUUGGGGUUGGGACACUAGGAAUCUCUUUUAGUAAAAUUCUCUUUUAAAAGAA
rnacentral:lncRNA from 1 species